AGAAGAAAACUAGAAGAAGAAGAAGAAGAAGAAGACUAGAAGAAGAACUUCUUCUUCUUUUCUUCUUCUUCUUCUUUUUCUUCUUCUUCUUUU
rnacentral:pre_miRNA from 1 species